rnacentral:rRNA from 1 species
CAGCCGCCGCGGUAAUACGAAGGGUGCAAGCGUUACUCGGAAUUACUGGGCGUAAAGCGUGUGUAGGUGGUUGUUUAAGUCUGUCGUGAAAGCCCUGGGCUCAACCUGGGAAUUGCGAUGGAUACUGGGCGACUAGAGUGCGGUAGAGGAUAGUGGAAUUUCCGGUGUAGCAGUGAAAUGCGUAGAGAUCGGAAGGAACAUCUGUGGCGAAGGCGACUAUCUGGGCCAACACUGACACUGAGACACGAAAGCGUGGGGAGCAAACAGGAUUAGAUACCCGGGUAGUCCCUGUCUCUUAUAC